GAAAGGACAGGCGUUGCCUUGGGACACGGCAUUGAAUUUGGUGAUGUGGCCGCAGUGCAGGUCUCCUGCCUCACGAAGAAGCAGUGGCUGGUCCUUAACCUUUGAAAACUCACUGGGUUUUGCACGAUGAUAUUAGCAAAGAGCAGAGCAGGAUGAGUGCCUUACCUUUAGGAAAAGUUCCUUGGGUUUUUAUCCACAUCAACUUGGACGUAUUCAGCUUAAAUACUUCUUCUCCUCUGCAGAUAGUGGUGGAGCAGAGUUUCCGAGUUAGGACAGGACUCUGUAUCCGUGACUGGAUGAGACAUGAUGCAGCUGCCUGCCCUUUGUCGACUGGAGUCCUGUUUUCCUUGCCUUAGAGGCACUCGGAAGUUUUUCCUCGCUGGACCUGACUGUCUCCUUUUCUUUUGAGACUUCGUGGGAGCUAAAUUUAAACUUGAUUAACAACAUUUAGUCCAAGGAGGGUCAGGAUACUAUUUUCAUGUUAAAUGCUGCUCUUUCGGCCCUCACAAUGAGAUCCCUUCUGAUUUUGUUGCUAUGGUGUGAGAGACAAAACAACAACAACAAAAAAAAAAAACAGCAUAAAACAUUUGAUUGGUUGAUUCUGAUCAGAGGUGGAAAAAGGGAUUAAUACCUCUUUUGUAAAAAUCUAUUGACAGCUCUAUUUGUAAAACCUCACAAAUACUCCUAGUAAUGAUAUUUUUACUCUUUACUAUUGAACUUCAACUUAAUAUUUAGGGCACAGCUUGGAGUCAGUUGCUCAAGGAAACUCCCAGACUCCAGAUCCCAUUCUACAACCACUAACUUAAUUUUUAGCAUUUUCCAAGGUGUGAUUAAAUCAUGAGACUGCAAGUUCCAUUAGUGGAGGCAUAGCAUCUCUUGUGCCCCGCCAAGGGGACUGAAUAUAUAAAUGGACAAUGGCCAGAUCACAUAUGAGAGCAGAACUCCAGUCUUCAACCUCUGCAGCUAUCACUCUUCUAAGCCAAACUAUAACCUCUGGCCUAGAAUGGUCAGCAGAACAGAAUGGUAUGCUCCCCACCCAAAUCACAUAAAGGCACCACUCCCACUCAGCCACCUCAUGCCAGCAUGAGGCUCCCCCCAUGCCAACAGCCUCCAGUCAGAGCAUACCUGAAGCCUUCCUUCUUCUUCACUAGAAAGAUUUGCCAGUCCUCUGCCUGCCUUUGAGUAUCUACCAGAAGGAAGAUACUGUGGCUGAUUUCCUUGCUCUAACAAAUGGAAUAAAUAGCCUCUGUUUGUUCUCAUUUGGGUUGUCUUUAUUUUCAUAACAUAUACUCCCUUGAAAUCAGGAUAGUGUCUAGCAUAUAACAAGCACUUAGGAAAGAUUAUCUGAAUGAACAAAUGAAUAAAUAAAUGACUACACAUUAAUCCAUUUCUGGAUUAGAAUUCUGUCUUCCUGAGAAUCUGGCUUUUUGCCUCACCUCCUUAAGUAUGUGACCUGUGGCCUUGGAAAAGCUACUCCACGUGUCUGGGUACCGUUUUUCUCAACCUGUAAACCAGCAAGUUUGGACCAAAUAAUACCUAUGUUUCAAAAAGUCUCAGAUCCUCACGUUUCAAGUAGCUUUCAUAAAACUUCUCUACCACCAUGAGCACAGGAUGCCAGGAU
ensembl:lncRNA